UGGGCAUUAAAUUUAGCUGCCAAUCUUUACCAAAGACGAGAUGGAGUUAGACAUCGUAAACGAUUCUUGGAGCAAAGGUUUUUUCGAGUUGUUGCAUAUAGGCAAUUUACAAGAAUGGUACAUGGCAUUCUUCGAGACAAAAGAAUUCCACUUCCAGCUUGUGCUUAUCAUGUUAUUCGAACAACUUUUAAUUUAAAAAAAAUGAACACUUUGCAGGGUAUGAAGAGGACAAUUUGUAAAAUAACAUAACAUUAUAUAUUAUUCUAGGUGUUGUGUGCAUGAGCCAAGCUAGUAGGGAUCCAGUGAAGUGUGGAAUGAUUUAAGCCACUCUUGAUGUAUUGCAUCUUCAAUUCACACUCAUUCUUGUUAUACAAAACAUACAAAAUUACAAUUCCUUUCUCUUUAUUCUUUCCAUGCAGUCAUUUCACACUUCACUGAAUCCCAACUAACUGGGCUCAUACCACCAGCUCCUAAAAAAGUGGUUACUUUUGGUUUUUUGGACAGUUCAUUAUAUUUUUAUGGCCUUUCAUCCAAUUCUUGCACACAGUGCAUC